rnacentral:rRNA from 1 species
GACGAACGCUGGCGGCGUGCUUAACACAUGCAAGUCGAACGGAAAGGCCCUGCUUUUGUGGGGUGCUCAAGUGGCGAACGGGUGAGUAACACGUGAGUAACCUGCCCUUUACUUUGGGAUAACUUCAGGAAACUGGGGCUAAUACCGGAUAUGAGCUCCUGCUGCAUGGUGGGUGUUGGAAAGUUUCGGCGGUUGGGGAUGGACUCGCGGCUUAUCAGCUUGUUGGUGGGGUAGUGGCUUACCAAGGCUUUGACGGGUAGCCGGCCUGAGAGGGUGACCGGCCACAUUGGGACUGAGAUACGGCCCGGACUCCUACGGGAGGCAGCAGUGGGGAAUAUUGCACAAUGGGCGGAAGCCGGAUGCAGGAACGCCGCGUGCUGGAUGACGGCCUUCGGGGUGGAAACCGCUUUCGCCUGUGACGAAGCGUGAGUGACGGUAAUGGGUAAAGAAGCACCGGCUAACUACGUG